CCGCGCGGGGGCCCCCUGGCUUGAAAAGCUGUUCUGAGCUCUGAAAUCCGAGCGAAAACUUGUGUUGGGAAGUGCUGUGCGAGGUUUGCUGGAGGUUGAAGGCUCAUCUGGGGCACAGUCAAGGGGAAGUAGCCUGGCUUUGUUUAUCUUGUGAAAAGACUCGUUUUAGAAGCUUUUUCAGUGGUCCUGGAUGAGAGACGUGGAUGCGGAUGCGGUGGAAGAGGGUGAAAGGCAGUAGAAAUAAACCUGAUUCUCAGAGGACUUUUCCUUGUCGGCCCCCUCAAGUGGAGCAGGACGACACUGCAGUUCCCCAGAUGUGGGACAGCUCCUGUUCCCAGGACGGGACCUGGGGCCCAGUGAGGUCACUAAACAAGACAGGCUGGGGUCUGCAACGUGUCACGUAAGCGCGGUGUGGCUCUGGGUAGAGCACGGAACCGCACUGCUCUACCGGCAUUGCGGGAGGUGCAGUGUUCCUAGUGCCCGGGGGUUCAGGCACAUCCCAGGCCCUUCCCACACACCACUCAAGAGACUGCUUUUCC